rnacentral:rRNA from 1 species
CUAUACUGCAAGUCGAACGAACUUCCGUUAAUUGAUUAUGACGUACUUGUACUGAUUGAGAUUUUAACACGAAGUGAGUGGCGAACGGGUGAGUAACACGUGGGUAACCUGCCCAGAAGUAGGGGAUAACACCUGGAAACAGAUGCUAAUACCGUAUAACAGAGAAAACCGCAUGGUUUUCUUUUAAAAGAUGGCUCUGCUAUCACUUCUGGAUGGACCCGCGGCGUAUUAGCUAGUUGGUGAGGUAAAGGCUCACCAAGGCAGUGAUACGUAGCCGACCUGAGAGGGUAAUCGGCCACAUUGGGACUGAGACACGGCCCAGACUCCUACGGGAGGCAGCAGUAGGGAAUCUUCCACAAUGGACGCAAGUCUGAUGGAGCAACGCCGCGUGAGUGAAGAAGGGUUUCGGCUCGUAAAGCUCUGUUGUUAAAGAAGAACGUGGGUAAGAGUAACUGUUUACCCAGUGACGGUAUUUAACCAGAAAGCCACGGCUAACUACGUGCCAGCAGCCGCGGUAAUACGUAGGUGGCAAGCGUUAUCCGGAUUUAUUGGGCGUAAAGCGAGCGCAGGCGGUCUUUUAAGUCUAAUGUGAAAGCCUUCGGCUCAACCGAAGAAGUGCAUUGGAAACUGGGAGACUUGAGUGCAGAAGAGGACAGUGGAACUCCAUGUGUAGCGGUGAAAUGCGUAGAUAUAUGGAAGAACACCAGUGGCGAAGGCGGCUGUCUGGUCUGCAACUGACGCUGAGGCUCGAAAGCAUGGGUAGCGAACAGGAUUAGAUACCCUGGUAGUCCAUGCCGUAAACGAUGAUUACUAAGUGUUGGAGGGUUUCCGCCCUUCAGUGCUGCAGCUAACGCAUUAAGUAAUCCGCCUGGGGAGUACGACCGCAAGGUUGAAACUCAAAAGAAUUGACGGGGCCCGCACAAGCGGUGGAGCAUGUGGUUUAAUUCGAAGCUACGCGAAGAACCUUACCAGGUCUUGACAUCUUCUGACAGUCUAAGAGAUUAGAGGUUCCCUUCGGGGACAGAAUGACAGGUGGUGCAUGGUUGUCGUCAGCUCGUGUCGUGAGAUGUUGGGUUAAGUCCCGCAACGAGCGCAACCCUUAUUACUAGUUGCCAGCAUUAAGUUGGGCACUCUAGUGAGACUGCCGGUGACAAACCGGAGGAAGGUGGGGACGACGUCAAAUCAUCAUGCCCCUUAUGACCUGGGCUACACACGUGCUACAAUGGAUGGUACAACGAGUCGCGAGACCGCGAGGUUAAGCUAAUCUCUUAAAACCAUUCUCAGUUCGGACUGUAGGCUGCAACUCGCCUACACGAAGUCGGAAUCGCUAGUAAUCGCGGAUCAGCAUGCCGCGGUGAAUACGUUCCCGGGCCUUGUACACACCGCCCGUCACACCAUGAGAGUUUGUAACACCCAAAGCCGGUGGGGUAACCUUUUAGGAGCUAGCCGUCUAAGGUGGGACAGAUGAUUAGGGUGAAGUCGUAACAAGGUAGCCGUAGGAGAACCUGCGGCUGGAUCACCUCCUUUCUAAGGAAUAAACGGAAACCCACACUAUGUCAAAGUUUUGUUUAGUUUUGAGAGGUUUACUCUCAAUUUUGUUCUUUGAAAACUGAAUAAUAUCUAUAAUUUUCUAAUUUUAAUUGUUAAUCAUAAUUAAACCGAGAGAAAACCGCGUAAUUUAAAGAGUUAUAAAACAAGAUUAGUUCAAAGAUUAAUCGCUAAACUCAAUUAAUCACUUUACCGUAGGUAAAGAUAGGUUAAGUUAGGAAGGGCGCAUGGUGAAUGCCUU